AAUCAUAGAAGGUCGCCUAUUGACUAUUUUUGUAGAGGGGUUGUCAGAGGGUCCUUUAUAUUGGCAAAUUCUGUAACUUGCAUUAAUCCACCUAUCCGCCAACUUUAUAACUUAUGUAUUGUUUAGAUUUGUACGUUGGAAUUGUUCAUUGUUAGAUUGAUUCUGGUUUGCAAUGUGCUAGUUUCCCUCAACGUUUGAGUUUAGCGGACCUGGCUUGGAAGAGGGGGAGGGCAUCUUGUUUUAUCGUUUACAGCAUAAAAUUAGCGGUCUGGACGUAUUAAUUUGCAAUUUAGUGAUCGCUUUCGGGGACAUGGAAAUCUGGCUAGCCUAGGGAUAGUGGGUCACCGGAGUGCAUUGCUGAGGGUGAAUGAAUGGCCGGAGAAUCUUGAGCGUGACCCGCAGCUUGUGAAAUUGUCAUUCAUGGAGACUAGUUCUGAAGUCAGUAUUGCUUUGUGUGUUGCAGGGCAUCGAAGCGUGUUCAUUUUAAUGGAGCUAUGCCUACUGACAUGUAUAACGAAAUUGAUUGAAAAGAGGACUCCGGUCUGGAAAAUAGAAGGAUGGCCAUUGUCCAUGUCAGGUCACCUUCAUGGAUUUUUAAGGAAAAAACGAGCUUUUUGGUCC